UACGUAGGGUGCAAGCGUUGUCCGGAAUUAUUGGGCGUAAAGAGCUCGUAGGCGGUCUGUCGCGUCGGCUGUGAAAACUCGGGGCUCAACUCCGAGCUUGCAGUCGAUACGGGCAGGCUAGAGUUCGGCAGGGGGAGGACUGGAAUUCCUGGUGUAGCGGUGAAAUGCGCAGAUAUCAGGAGGAACACCGGUGGCGAAGGCGGGUCUCUGGGCCGGAUAUUGACGUGAGGAGCGAAAGCGUGGGGAGCAAACAGGA
rnacentral:rRNA from 1 species